UAUAACGCGCAGCGAGUUUUAGGUCGCGAUAUUGUUUUGGCAUCGAACAGAGCCGGAAUCCCCAUCUCUCUCGUUCCUCUGCACGCCUCUCAAACCCUAUACGCCGCCUGCCUCAUGCCCUGUCCGACGCCGCAUCACCACCUGGCCGCCGCCGCAGGCCCCUUCCUUCCCUCGUACGCGACGCUGCCGCCGUACCUUCGGCGGUGCGUUUGACGCGCUCGGGCGAGCUUCUGGUGCUCGGGGCAAGUUUUCCCGGUUUCUGCGCCUCCUGUGAAUGGAGGAGUUGGAGGCGCGGAGGCCCGGUCAUCCUUCCGAAUUUCCCGAUGCAGAGACGGUGCGAUGGUAGCUGACUUCCAUGGCCGGCCUCUGUCGAGGCCUGAUGACAAACUGGUGAGUUGAUCUGACUGAUGGGAGGGGCGGUCCGUCGCCGCCCUGCGCCGGUGACUGUUCUCUAUAGACUCCAGGACGGCAAUAUAAUUGUCGCAGAUCUACCGGAGGCGCAUCCCUCUAUGGCGUUGACCGCGACAGAUCUGAAGGUACCGGUGGGUGACUCAGAUCUGCAAGGAGAGACGUGCCGGUCUCCACUGCUAGGGCCUUGGCUAGUGGCUGAUACAUGCUACCGGCGAUGUGAUUAACCAGAGGUAAUUUUGCUAUAACCCGGUGGCUGUGGUGGCACGGUGGGUCGAUCGAGUUCUCCCACUGAGAAAUUUGGAUCUAGCUUUCUCGUCUACCUACCCCAGGCGAGCUCCCUAGCCUUAUAAUGCGGCUACUGUUUGAUGUCUGUAGCAGAAGCCUAGAUCUGUUUGAUCUGCUAUGAUCUACUGUAGCCUUGGCUGAAGAUAAGCCAUAAUCAGCUUCAGAUCUCUGAUGCAGGAUGAUGACAUCCGCAUGCGAGGUAGUGGUUUGGAGCAGGCCAGUGAGGUGCAAUGGUUGCCUGAGGAGAUUGAUAUUUUGCUUGGAGGCUAGCCAUGAUAAUCGAUAAAAUACCACAAGGAACAGACUUACUGGUUUUUGGAUAGUUUGAUAAAAUUAUAUGGCUUAAAUGUUUUUAUUGGUACCAAGGUAAUUAAGUGUGACCAUGUUAUUUUGUGGCUAUUUUUUAUAAUAAUAAUAAUAAUUAUUCACUUUUAUCGAUUAUUUUUCUAUUUGUUCUACAUGUCUAUGAUUUUAGAUUAGUGCAAAUUAAGCCUUACAGAUGAUGAUAUGUGAUUCCAUGUUUAUCACUCACAAUUUUACUCACUCCGUUUUCUUUUUAAAAGGUGUAUAUAAUUUAUAGAAAUAUAUUUUUUCUAUUUUUUUAACAAGUUUAUAGAAUUUAUAGAAAAAGGAAUAUCAAUUUCAAUAAUACUAAUAAAUAAAUAAAUACGAAAAUAUAUUAUGGAUAUAGCAUUUGAUGUGAAGGACGGGCCCCAACUUGUGCCAAGAGGUCCUGGGUUUGACGUGGCCUCUCUGCAUUGCACUGUGUAGGGGUAAGGGUUGCCUUGUAUAAUCCUUCCUCAGACCCCCUACCUCCUGUGGGGCCUUUUAGCACGUUAGUCAAUGAUCCAUGUGGUAUUUUGGUUGUCGAUAUUUUAUUAUCAUUUUCUACAAACGAAACUUAGAGAAAUUGACUUUUGAAAGAGAUUAGUACACACUAUUGUAAAUUUAGGCUGUGUUUGGCAUUGCCGUGGAUUAUUACAUUCCAGCUUUUGCCUAUUUUAUUGUCUGCUCAUCUUUUUUCCUUACUGCAGUGAUUAUUGCAGAGUAGUUAACACUAAUCAUAGUUCAGCAAUCCACAAACUAAGCCUCGGUAUACAUUUUUAAACAAGAUAAUAGCCUACACAUGUUAUUUCUUAAUCAAGUAACUAGCUAAAUUAACCAUAUAACUAUGUUAGCAUUGUACAAUUAUUAUUAUAGAACUAUAAUAUUUAUUAAAUUUUAGGUAUAUGCGUUGUACAUGUUUUAUGAUUGUACAUCAGUGAGAAACUACACAUCGUUGGACAAGAUGAUGUUUGUACAUGUAUGUUAUCACGGCGACUAGUAUAAUAUACUACUCCCUCCCUUCACAAAUAUAAGAUGUUCUAACUUCUUUGUAAAUAGGAUGGAUAUAGACACAUUUUAGUGUGUUUGUUCAUUCAUUUCUGUCUGUAUGUAGUCUAUAUUGGAAUAUCCAAAACAUCUUAUAAUUAUGAACCGAGGGAGUACAUAACUGUGUUGAUAUUGUACAAUUGAAACUUGACUGUAUAUGCUGUAGAUGUCUUAUGAUUUUACAUUAUGAGAAAAUAAUAAGUUUAUUAAGACAUAAUUGUACAUGCUUUAUAUAUAUUACGAUAUGAUUCUACAUCGUGGGAAAAUGAGUUUUGAAUAUCAUACUUCUAAUGUUCCUCAUUAAAAAUAUAUUUAUUAUAGUGUUAAUUCUUUAAAAUUUAAGGGCAUGUUUUGUUCUGAUGAUAUGUAGGAAUAGACACAAGAAUAAGGUAGAAAUGCGUGUGAUAAGAAAACAUAGGAAUUUUGUCAACUGUAUUUGGUUCACAAAACUCGGGAUUAUUAAUAAAAAUGUGGUCAAAUCUAGGAUGCUAUUACGCAAUUAAAGACCUCGGUAGUAGGAGUUCGGAAAAUGAGGUCCAGAUGGUUUUUGCGGGGAUGUUCUGCAUUGCAGAGUAAGUGUGACAGUUGUAGGAACUUGGUCAUUUUAGUUCUACGUGCCUAUUAUUUUCCAUCAUUGCAAAAUAAACCACUCAUAUUUUUAUCUCUUGAUUUAUGAACUGGUUUGGGAGCGAUGCACAUUCUUACCACUCAUGUUCAAGUAUUUAUGGCUUCGGUGCUAAUGAAAUGUGCAGUUCUGUGUUAGUAUUUUAUUUUGUGUUACUUUUACCAUAGAAGUGUAAGAAGGGUCAAUUAUUUUUUUGUUUAUACAGAUGUAGUCGUACCUCUUGGUAGAUAGAAAAGUUAGGAGCAAUAUGCUGUAGUUAUUAGCAUAGCAGAUGUAUGUUUCCAUCGUUUCAUGAGUUGACAGUCACCAUUUUUUCUUGUUAUUACAUGUUGCGUAUAGUUGUAUCUGUUAUACAACUUCCACGUUCAUCAUUGGAAAUAUAGUUGUCUGUUAAACAUCUCUAUGGCCCUUUUGUAUAACCUGACCUUAUAUAAACAGGCGGUCUAGCUGUGAAUAUUUGCUUUUUUCUCUCUGUUAAAGCAUGUUUAAAAUUUUCCAAUUUCUGUGACAUUAUUUUGCCUCAAAAGCAAGCGAGGUGCAUUGAAUCUGACUAGCAGUUUGAAGUUCAUAUUAACUAUACAGAAGUAUAGGAGGGUAGCUUAAUUGUUAUAUCAUGUUGUAUUCAAAUCUUUAUUAUGCGAUGAGCCUUACAGAAUGUUAUUAUAUGCAAGCCAGCACGAGGCGUGAUGGUGUUUCCUCCUUCACCUCAAAUAUGUGCAACUAGAUGAGGCCAGCAUUAGGCGUGUUGGCGUUUCCUCCUUCACCUCAAAUAUGUGCAACUAGAUGAGCGCCGGGAGGCCAUGGGAGUCGCGGUCGCACACAAACCCGUUAUGAGCCUUUCGGCCGCGCAUCCUUGUUGCCGCCAGGAGUGCCGAAGCACGACGGGCAGACAAUGUGUGUCCUUUGCUCACGUCCGUCGAGGCAAGCGAUGAGGCCAACAACGGCGACGUGUGGGAGGAUGGAUGGAAUGCUCGAGGUUGCCUCCGGGCGACAACCAUUGUUGGCGUCCGUCCGAGCAAGGGAUGAGGCCCAUGACGGCGACCACGGACCAGUGUGACACUGCCGAGCGCCGUCCUCACCGCAGUACAUAGUUGUUGAGCUGUCGAGCCCCACCUCUUCUGGAUCUAUCUGGCGAGCAGCAGGACACCGCCAAUCUCCACGGCCAGGAACCCGCAAGGUAGAGAGUGAAGGGGAAGAGGGAGACGACGGUGGGAUCUGUGCUUGCUUGUGCCACCAUGGACCUCGAGUUGCUUUGCUUCUCAUCUCCUCACCAUGUGCCGCUGUUCUUCUUUCUUUCCCUAGAGCGGGACGAAGGGUUGAGCAGGGGUAGAGCGCUACCAAAUUUUGGGGAAAACCGAGAGCGGGACAAAGGGGCUGCAUGCUUGUUGCCACGGACAGGCCAAUAUUCCGCUUUGAUCCCCAGCCUGAAUACCAUGACCUGCCAAACAACAAACAUUUGGGUAUCCCAAUGCCAAUGUCUAAUGCUGGGCCUCAUCAUCAACCUCCAAACGGUGUGUUAUCAAAAGACACUUGUAUUAUGGUGAGCUUGUAAUUAGCUUCACAAGAAGCACCUUCUGGAUUCUAUUGUUGAUCAGGUUUGAUAAAAAAAUUCAACAAGUAAGAGAACUUAACCAUCGCAGAAUAUCACAUGGGCAUGCACAUAGCAGACAGGUGACAGGUAAUAUGUGAGCACGGCAGGUAAUAUGUGAAGUAAUAUGUUCAUAGGAGUUCAAAAUAGGCAAGGCAUAAUAUGGUCAAAGGAGUACAUUAUAUCAGUAGAACAGAUGAAUCUCCUGACAUUGCGCUUUAUUUUGCCAUGAUACUCCACUUGCUGUUUUGUUCUCCUGCCCUUGAUGCCCGCCUUUGCUGCAAUGCAUAGUAAUUAGUUUAUGUAUAUGAUCAAAUUAUCUAGGAGAAAAUUUAUAGUAUGCAAUGAUUUAAGGUGCAUUCUGACCGUCUUUUUUACUUGGCAGGUUUUCUUUUCUGUGAUAUAAGAGACUCUAUUGUCACUACUUAUUAUUCUUUGAUAAUUGGUUGGGCUACUACUACACUGAAGGUAUAAAAUAUGUGCAGGAAGCAUCACCACAGCUAGCAUAGGAUACGAGUAAAAUCCUGAUUGCACAGGAGACUCUCCCUCCUUUCCGGUUUAUUAGGCCUCCAAAGCUCAAGAGCUUUGCAUAUUUGUUAGGCCUAAGAGUUUCGCAUAUUUAUCACCACAGCUAGCAUAGGAUACGAGUAAAAUCCUGAUUGCACAGGAGACUCUCCCUCCUUUCCGGUUUAUUAGGCCUCCAAAGCUCAAGAGCUUUGCAUAUUUGUUAGGCCUAGUCCUGGCCAUGGGAAGCCCGGCCCGACCCGGCCCGAAAAAGCCCGGCCCGGCCUGGCCCGACGCUACCUCCGGGCCGGGCUCGGGCCUAGUUUUUGAGCCUGAAGGCCGGGCUGGGCCCGGGCUCGUCAUUUUUGCAGUUUACUGAAGGUCGGGCCGGGCCGGCCUGAAGCCUGAUGGGCUUUUAGGUGUUCGGGCCGGGCUCGGGCCCAGAAACACAGGCCCGAUGGCCGGGCCCGGGCCUGGAUUUUUUGUGUCGGGCUUGGCCAGGCCCGGCCCGAAGCCCGGCCCGGCCUGAGGUUUGGCCAAGUAUAGUUAGGCCUAAGAGUUUCGCAUAUUUGUGCCUGUACCAGAUUGCCAGGAAAAGUUAAAAAACGAGUACUUUUUUUUUUGCUGUAACUGAAAAUCUUAGCACAUAUGAACAGCCAUUGGAAAUUUGCUUACGCAAUCUUAGCACACAUGAGCAGACUUUUAUGAGCAUUAACAUUUUGUAUAAUGCUAAAUUGCCUGUUCUGCUGUGAGAAAUGUCCAUACUUGCAGUUAACAAAUACAGUACUACUUACUUAAUUCGCUAGUAAAAUCCCUCUAGUUGAGCAGAACAAAUACAGUACUACCUACCUCUAAUUCAGCACAACUACUUUAUUCCCACCCAAUUUUGCAGUUAACAAAUACAGUACUACUUAAUUCGCUAGUAAAAGCCCUUUAAUUUCCUAACAACUCGGCGCAGUCAGCGCUCCCGUCCAUAUCUGCCAUUGGAUUAUUAUAAAUCUUGCUCUAACAAUUGCGUCAGAACCCCGUCCAAAAUCGUCCAAAUCCCCAGUCAAUCUGCGCUAAUUUCGGAAUCUGCAGUCAAUCUGAGCUAAUCAUGGAAGGGUGAACGGAAUCGGAUUCUGUACCUGAGUUGUUUAAUAGCGGCAUUCCCUAAACGGCGCCCGUUGCAGGCAUGUGCGCAAACGGGCGCACACCCCCCGCGGCACCCAUUAUGUGUUUUUAUUUUUUGUCUUAAUCCGCAAAAAAGGGCGCUACCAGGAUUCGAACCACCUACCUCCGCAUCAAGGACAGCAAGUUCAACCACGCGAGCACAGGGCAGGAUAUGGUUACGCUUUAGUUUUUCUGUCUAUUAUUCGUUCUUUUUCCUUUUUCAUUUUUUGUUUUCCUUUUUAAAUUACACGGCCACGUGUUUUUCUUUUUUCUUUUUUUUCUGUUCUUUCUUUUCGCCUUUUCUUUUUCUUUUUCUUUUUCUGUCUUUUUCAACAUCGACGAACUUUUUUUCAAUUUUAUGAACUUUCUUUCAAAUUUGAUGAAGUUUUCUUCAAAAUCGAUGAAGUUUUUUCAUAUUCGGUGAACUUUUUGCAAAAUCGAUGAACUUUUCUCACCAAAUUCCAUGAACUUUUUCCAUAAUCGAUGAAUUUUUUUUCAAAUUCAAUGAACUUUUUUUCAAAUUCAAUGAACUUUUUUUGAAAAUCUGUGAACUUUUUAAAAUUUGAUGAACUAUUUUCGAAUUGGAUGAACUUUUUUCAAUAUCCAAAAUAUGUUCAGAUUUUUCGAAAUUUCGCUUGAAUUUUCAGAAAAUGUUUUUAGAAAUUCCAAAUGUUGUUCAUGUUUUCGAAUUUUGUUCACGUUUCAAAAAUAGUUCUGAAUUCCAAAUUUUGUUAACCGUAUUGAAGAAAAAUGUUCACCAUACAUUGAAAAAAUGUUCAGUUUGUAUAAAAAAAUGUUCAUCAUGUAUAGAAAUUUUGUUCAGCAUGUAUUCAAAAGGAGUUCAUCGUAUUUAAAAAAAAGUUCUAUGUGUAUUUGAAUAUUGUUCACCAUACAUUGAAAAAAAGUUCAGUGUGUAUAAAAAAUGUUCAUAGUGUAGAGAAAUUUUGUUCAGCAUGUAUCCAGAAAAAGUUCAGCAUAUUUAAAAAAAUGUAACUUUAUGUAAUACAUGGUGAACUUUUAUAAAAUUUGGUGAAAGUUUUUGAAUACAUGAACUUUUUUCUAAUUCGAGAUUUUUUAAAACUUAUUUCAGAUUUUUUUCUUUUCCAAAAAAUUACGUCUUUCUAAAUUGUUUGUACCAGAAGUAGUGCGUUAGUAUUGUUGUUAACCAUCUCGCGCUGUAAUGAAUCACUAGGUUAUAGUAGAUGUACUGUUUAGGCACGCUGCGUCAUAACUAAACGGCGCGAGAUCGAAUCCUGUUGGAAGCAGCUUUUUUGGGAGGUUUUUUCUCUGCGUGUUCCUGGGCCGGCCCACCAGAUAGUGCCAGUGGGCGCCAGUUGCCUGUACCGGCGCUUAAUGCGCCGUAUAGGAGCUCCCCCCCUACGCGCGGCCUCCAGCUCCAACUCCCGCGCCCUCUGGGCCUCCAGCUCGCGAGCCUUCGCCGCCUCGGCCACCUUCUUCGCUGCCUGGCAUUUCCUGGUAUGCUCCGUGCCCGCGGCCAGCCCCUCGAUUUUCUCUCCGCACGCGCAGGUGUACCGAACAGUAGCGGACUGGGACUUCUUGCCUCCCUUACCGGCCAUCCCGCGGUGGUGGUGGCGGCGGCGGCGGGGAUGGGAAGGGGUGGAUUUGGAGGAGGCGGAGGCUGGAAAGGGUUGGCUGGUCGUAAUAGGUUUGUUGUAGGUUAGGGUGUAUUUUAAGUGUGUAUGUCUAUUUUCUUGAAAAGAAUUAUCUUAAGGGAAAUACUUAUAUUCAUCUGGCCGUUCGGAUGCAAAAUGUCUGUGGCAUUGUUAUCGCGCCACGUGCCCCGUGCCCCCGAGACAUGAUGGCGUGCAUGCGCAACAACCCUACCCCAACGGCUGACUGGGGAAUACCUACGAGGUAGGCCCAUCACUAUUGGGAAAAACCUUACAGGUGGCCUCUACUGAGUGGCGGGCGCUGUCAGGAGGGCUUGUUUGAGGACCCGCCACUGUUAUACGCUCGCUAAUUCUUCAUGGGCGAGAAGCAACACUGACGGGCAUAUAGAUGUGCCCGCCAGUGGUUCCUCGCCAAGCAGUGGCGGGUGCUUCCAAGCGACCGCAACAGCUAUAUCUAGGUACUCGUGUCUGAUGGUUUCAAAAUUUAUCAAAGUUUGGAGUGGUGGGUACUACCGGGCACCCGCCGCAACUAUCUGCCACCUACCACGCAUAUAUAGUUGUUGCAGGCGCUAUAUGUCGCUCGUCACUCUGGUGACAGUCACCCGCGCCUUCCUCCGCAUCCAACGUCGCCCGCGUCUCCGCCCAACUCGUCGUUCGCCUCGGCCAUCGUCCUGGCCGUCGUCCGACUCCACCCCGUUGUUUUGAGAAGAGGACACCGACUGUUGCAGGAUCAAGGACGACCAUCACCUACAGUCGCAAAUACAAUGACGCUAUCGCCUAUCGAAAGAUUCAAUAUGCAUCGAAGUGUGAAUGGCUUUCUCAAUUUCGCGAUGGCAAAUAUGAUACAAAAGGGUGAAGUGCAGAUAUUAUGUCCAUGUUUGACAUGGGAAAAUGGAAUUUUGCACAACCCGUUUGAAGGCAGCCUGCUGGCGCACUUGCUCCGUCGCGGUUUCGUUGCAGGUGAUACACGGUGGCCAAAGCAUGGUGAGGAGGAUGUUAGCGAUGAUGGAGGAAACAAUGACGUAGAAAACUCUGGCGAUGAACAGGCAGAGCCGCCAGAAGGAGGAAACAAUGAACAUGCGCAUGGAGAAGGAAAUGAUGAAAUGCCACCCGAACAUGAAGAGGACCAUGAGACUGUCACGCAGGAUAUGUCGUUGGCUACAAUGCUACAAGAUCCUCAUGUUAAAGAUCUGCUUCGGAAGAAGACAACAAGCGAGAGAGCUGCUAUUAAAGAGGCUGUAAAGUUGGCGCAAUUGGAAAUAGACACGAAAACUCCACUGCAUGAAGGUUGCAAUCCCGAGAAAAAGCGCUUGCACAUCACACUCAAACUUCUGGACAUCAAGGCAAGAUUCAAGAGCACAGAUGCAAGUCUGGAUGCUACAUUGAAAUAUUUACACAAAGUUUUGCCCAAGGGGAAUUUUUUGCCUCGCAGUGUUGAUGAGGCAAAGAAGAUUCUGUGUCCGAUUGAUUUGCCACAUGUAAGAUAUCACGCAUGCAUAAAUGAUUGCAUCUUAUAUUGAAAUGAGUAUGCGAACAAAAUAGAGCA